AUGAACGCUGGCGGCGUGCCUAAUACAUGCAAGUCGAGCGAACGGACGAGAAGCUUGCUUCUCUGAUGUUAGCGGCGGACGGGUGAGUAACACGUGGAUAACCUACCUAUAAGACUGGGAUAACUUCGGGAAACCGGAGCUAAUACCGGAUAAUAUUUUGAACCGCAUGGUUCAAAAGUGAAAGACGGUCUUGCUGUCACUUAUAGAUGGAUCCGCGCUGCAUUAGCUAGUUGGUAAGGUAACGGCUUACCAAGGCAACGAUGCAUAGCCGACCUGAGAGGAUGAUCAGCCACACUGGAACUGAGACACAGUCAAGACUCCUACGGGAGGCAGCAGUAGGGAAUCUUCGACAAUGGGCGAAAGCCUGACGGAGCAAAGCCGCGUGAGUGAUGAAGGUCUUCGGAUCGUAAAACUCUGUUAUUAGGGAAGAACAUAUGUGUAAGUAACUGUGCACAUCUUGACGGUACCUAAUCAGAAAGCCACGGCUAACUACGUG
rnacentral:rRNA from 1 species